rnacentral:rRNA from 1 species
AGCGAACGUUAGCGGCAGGCCUAACACAUGCAAGUCGCACGAGAAUCCGGCUUCGGUCGGUAGUAAAGUGGCGGACGGGUGAGUAACACGUGGAUAAUCUGCCCCUCGGCGGGGGACAACAGUCCGAAAGGAUUGCUAAUACCGCAUACGUCAGCGAGGUCUUCGGACCUUGUUGGGAAAGAUGGCCUCUUCAUGAAAGCUAUCACCGAAGGAUGAGUCCGCGGCCCAUCAGCUAGUUGGCGGGGUAAUGGCCCACCAAGGCUUAGACGGGUAGCUGGUCUGAGAGGAUGAUCAGCCACACUGGAACUGAGACACGGUCCAGACUCCUACGGGAGGCAGCAGUGGGGAAUAUUGGGCAAUGGGCGCAAGCCUGACCCAGCCAUGCCGCGUGAGUGAUGAAGGCCUUCGGUCGUAAGAC